AUGGGACCUUCCUCACUGGAGUCCCUUGGGAAACUGGCAAUGACUGAGGGUGGGUCAGUCUUUGUCACACACAGAGUGGACAUGAGGGCCCCUGUGGAGCUUCUCAGCUUCCUACUGCUCUGGCUCCCGGGUGUCAGUUGUGCUACCCAGAUGAGUCAGCCUCCAUCCCUGUCUGCAUCUCUGGGACAGAGAGUCACCAUCACCUGCAAGGCCAGUCAGAGCAUUUUUAGUGCUUUAGCCUGGUAUCAACAGAAACCAGGGAAAGCUCCCAGGCUCCUGAUCAAUCAUGCAAGCAGAUUACAACCAGAUGUCCCUUCCCGGUUCAGUGGUAGUGGAUAUUGGACAAAUUUCACUCUCACCAUCAGCAGCCUGGAGACUGAAGAUGCUGCCACUUAUUACUGUCUACAGUAUAGUCAUCUGCCUCGCACAGUGAUACAGGCCAAAACAUAA